rnacentral:misc_RNA from 1 species
AAUACUUCUUGGAAUGUUCCC